UGUCUGCAUAGUUGGGUUAGUCAGAUCUUGGGAAUGGCCAUGGCAAGAAGGAAAGAGACCUUGGGAGAAACCGAAGAACCCGAUUCCAAGCCCAAAUCCUCCAUCUAGCAAAUAUCCUCUUUGUAUUUUCAUUAAAAAUUGCUCAAAAUCCCGAUGGCAAAUAUUUGGAGAACUAAUGGACUUAAUGCUGUUCCAAAGAUCAAUCUAAAGCUAUUCCGUCAAAGAUACAAAUUGAAAUUCUAUUUAAUAAAACCUAAAAGAGUGGAAAAACAAAUGAGUGUUGAUGGAACCCAGUAAAGGAAACUUACAAAUGGGAAAAAUACCACAAGCAAAGAAGGAGAGAGAAAAGAGAAAUGAACCCUGAAAAAAUUAAAAUACAGAGAAAAAUGGCGCAGAGUGAGAAAAAGUGUCACACAGUGCGUAUGUGGAACAUUUUUUAAUUGCAGCACAUAUGUUCAAGUAAUUGCUGCAACAGUUUAGUCGGAGAAUUCCAAUGGGAGAAGAGAAAAACAGAGAAAGAAAAAUCUGAAGAGUGGAAUAUUUUUUGACUUCUCUUGAUUUCUUAAAAAAAUGCAAUGAUUAUCUUAAA